rnacentral:rRNA from 1 species
UACAGAGGUCCCAAGCGUUGUUCGGAUUCAUUGGGCGUAAAGGGUGCGUAGGUGGCGUCGUAAGUCGGGUGUGAAAUCUCGGGGCUUAACUCCGAAACUGCAUUCGAUACUGCGGUGCUUGAGGACUGGAGAGGAGACUGGAAUUUACGGUGUAGCAGUGAAAUGCGUAGAGAUCGUAAGGAACACCGGUGGCGAAGGCGGGUCUCUGGGCCGGUACCGACGCUGAGGAGCGAAAGCGUGGGGAGCGAACAGG